rnacentral:rRNA from 1 species
GAUGAACGCUAGCGGCAGGCUUAAUACAUGCAAGUCGAACGGUAACAGGUCUUCGGACGCUGACGAGUGGCGCACGGGUGAGGAACACGUACACAAUCUACCUUAUACUGGAGAAUAGCCCCGGGAAACUGGGAUUAAUACUCCAUAGUCUUUAAUGAUCACAUGAGAAAUAAAGUAAAGCUUCGGCGGUAUAAGAUGAGUGUGCGUCCCAUUAGAUUGUUGGUGAGGUAACGGCUCACCAAGUCGACGAUGGGUAGCUGGCGUGAGAGCGCGACCAGCCACACUGGCACUGAGACACGGGCCAGACUCCUACGGGAGGCAGCAGUAGGGAAUAUUGGUCAAUGGACGAAAGUCUGAACCAGCCAUGCCGCGUGGAGGAUGACUGCCCUCUGGGUUGUAAACUCCUUUUAUAUGGGAAGAAACCUCUGGAUUCACUCCAGAGCUGACGGUAUCAUAUGAAUAAGCACCGGCUAACUCCGU